ACAACAUGGAUCCCAGAGACAGAUGCUGUCCGACCUGUUGAGUAUAUUCCGCAUUUGCAUUGAGAAUUGGUGCUUGGCAUCAGCAAUAAGUUUCACAAUUCCCAGCAUUCACAGUAUUUUACUCUUACCAACUGUCUGAUUGUUUUAUAAAAAGAAAUGCACGUACAAGGAAAUUGUUGGAGGUCAUAGAAGAGGGUUGUCUCGCAAUGGAAUACUUUGUCCAAGGUGUAGAGGUUUUUGAAUAAUUUUUUUGAAUUUUUGGUUGUGCAUAUUAACUCCAAUUUUUAGACAAAGACAGAAAGGAAUCUGUAAAUUGUAUAUUAAUCAUGUUUAAUUGUCGGCAAGUGGUGGACAUUAACUGGGUACUCGCUUGAGUCCCUAUAAAUAUGCACAGGCUAAAAACUGUAUUUGAUGGGUUAGGAAGGAUAUGCUUGUAAUGUGUAACUCUGUAAAUAAAUAUAAAUGUAUGUAAAGAUUGACUCUAGUCCUAUCCUUGACCAACUGGCUUUCUGGAUAGAGCAUUAAUGAUCUGUGUGCCUAGGUCUCCCAAGUCUCUUUGGACGUCCACUGUUUUGAGCUCUUUACCAUUUAGAACGGACCUUGUUUGACCCAUUUUAGAUCCAGAGAGGGUGACCUCAUAUUUGUUUGUAUUGAAACCCGUUUGCCACAGUCUUUUCC